CAGUCGCCGCGGGAAUACAGAGGGUGCAAGCGUUAAUCGGAAUUACUGGGCGUAAAGCGCGCGUUGGUGGUUUGUUAAGUUGGAUGUGAAAUCCCCGGGCUCAACCUGGGAACUGCAUCCAAAACUGGCAAGCUAGAGUAUGGUAGAGGGUGGUGGAAUUUCCUGUGUAGCGGUGAAAUGCGUAGAUAUAGGAAGGAACACCAGUGGCGAAGGCGACCACCUGGACUGAUACUGACACUGAGGUGCGAAAGCGUGGGGAGCAAACAGGAUUAGAUACCCCGGUAGUCCCUGUCUCUUAUAC
rnacentral:rRNA from 1 species